CUUUAACUUCUUUGUGGGGGAGGGAGUGCAAAUUGGUUUUAAGGAAACACAGAAAUGCAUUUUCAGAAUUUUUCUACAUGUGGGCUAGAGGGGGCAGUGCUUCCUCUCAUAAAGAUAAAGAGCUAAAAACAGUACUGUUCAUAUGUGAAAUAGAAGCCUCUGUGGAAGGAAAUGAAAGAAGGGCAGGAAGUUGAAGUCAGAUUUACGGUUGUCUGGGGAGGAGAGAAGACAAGCGGAGUCCACAGGAGACAUGGGCAAGCUCCUGGGGGUAUCACUGUUGAUUCUGUGGCUUCAGCCAGACUGGGUGAAUAGUCAACAGAAUGCUGACCAGCAGCAAGUUAGGCAAACUCCAUCCCUGAGUGUGCAAGAACGAGAGAUUUCUAUUCUGAACUGUGACUACAAUAAUAAUAUGUUUGAUUACUUCAUGUGGUACAAAAAAUACCCUGCCAAAAGUCUUGAGUUUGUGAUAUCAAUACGUUCCAUUGUGGAUAAAAAGGAAGAUGAAAGAUUCACAGUCUACCUCAACGGAAGUGCCAAACACCUGUCUCUGCACAUCGCAGCCUCACAGCCUGGAGAUUCAGCCUUGUACUUCUGCGCAGCGAAUGCACAGUGCUCUCCAGGCACCUGCAGCCUAUACACAAAACUGCAGCUGGGUCCAUGCCUCUUUGGGGGCUCAUACUUGGAGGCACAUACUUGCUUCCACUUAAACAGAGCAAGAGAGGUUGCUGGUUUAACUAAAGCAUCAAUCUCUGGUGAUGCUUUGAUCCCGCUAGACCUUGGAAUGAGGAUACCAUUUCCCCUGUAG